ensembl:ncRNA Y22F5A.10 ncRNA
AAAAAGCAUUUCAAACUAACAGUGAUGGGCACUCAAUCACUGAAAAAAUCUCAGUCAACUGAUGCAAUUACGGACUAAAAGAGGGAAAAUAAGUUAGAUGUUGUGAGAUCGAAAGAGAAAACACGAACGCAAGAGAGC